UAGGGCUAGCCUCAAGUGAUGAUUAUUGGAGGUAGAGCACUGUUUGGACGAGGGGCCCCUCUCGGGUUACCGAAUUCAGACAAACUCCGAAUGCCAAUUAAUUUAACUUGGGAGUCAGAACAUGGGUGAUAAGGUCCGUGUUCGAAAGGGAAACAGCCCAGACCACCAGCUAAGGUCCCAAAAUAUAUGUUAAGUGGAAAAGGAUGUGGCGUUGCCCAGACAACUAGGAUGUUGGCUUAGAAGCAGCCAUCAUUUAAAGAGUGCGUAAUAGCUCACUAGUCGAGUGACACUGCGCCGAAAAUGUACCGGGGCUAAACAUAUUACCGAAGCUGUGGAUUGUCCUUUGGACAAUGGUAGGAGAGCGUUCUAAGGGCGUCGAAGCAUGAUCGCAAGGACAUGUGGAGCGCUUAGAAGUGAGAAUGCCGGUGUGAGUAGCGAAAGACGGGUGAGAAUCCCGUCCACCGAUUGACUAAGGUUUCCAGAGGAAGGCUCGUCCGCUCUGGGUUAGUCGGGUCCUA
rnacentral:rRNA from 1 species